ensembl:lncRNA
GAGAAGGUUGUGGGAAUUCAGGUGGUUCAAGAACUGAGAGCUUAGAGUUGAAGCUCAAGUUGCUAGUACUCCUGGGGAAGGAACAAUGACAACAUCAGAUUAUCUUAAAACCAGAAGGAAAUGAGGGAAGAAACACAGUGAUCCGGAGCUGAAGCGCAGCCACGAGGAGCCAGAAAACGGAGGAGGGUGACUGUUCUGCUGAAGAGUGUACCUUCUAAUUCAGAAAACUUAGUCACCAGACUGAGAACAGAUAACAAGAGUAGGAGGAAGGACUGGGGAGUGUGGGGAAACGUUUCACAAAGCUCUGAAAUCCGCAGCAUGCAGAGCAAGCUCUUGACAAACUCGCAGCUUUCUGGAACCUUCGGAAAAUGAAAAUCCAACUCAUAGGAUAAAGCAAAUAGCCCCACUGGUUAUUUCACAGCACAUAUCUAACUAACACCCAUCAAAGCUCUGAACAGUGGAGAUGGUUCUAAAAGCAUCAUCUACCCCUAGGCAAGAUUAUAUUCAGUCCUCGAAUAAUCUAUAAAAUGUGGCUCCAUUUUGAAAAUCACCAUUUUGUGCCUAAAUGGCAUAAUGGAUAAAAAAUUGGCUCCACUAUUUCACUCAAUCUAAGGUCCCCACUCCAGUACUCUUGCCUGAAAAAUCCCAUGGAUGGUGGAGCCUGGUAGGCUGCAGUCCAUGGGGUCACUAAGAGUUGGACACGAUUGAGCGACUUCACUUUCAACUUUCACUUUCAUGCAUUGGAGAAGGAAAUGGCAACUCACUCCAGUGUUCUUGCCUGGAGAAUCCCAGGGACGGGGGAGCCUGGUGGGCUGCCGUCUAUGGGGUCGCACAGAGUUGGACAAGACUGAAGCAACUUAGCAGCAGCAGCAAAGUCCCUUAGGAGCUUCCUAGAUGUCUCAGUGGUAAAGAAUCCGCCUGCCAAUGCAGGAGAUGCAGGUUGGAUCCCCUGGAGAAGGAAAUGGCAACCCAUUCCAGUAUUCUUGCCAGGAAAAUCUAUAGGACAGAGGAGCCUGGUGGGCUACAGUCCAUGGGUUUGCAAAAGAGCUGGACACAACUUGGAUGAAACAACAACAAGGUCUCUUGGAACUCUAAGCACAAGUUUAAGAAAAAUUACCACUUUAAAAAUGGCUCUACAGGGGACGAGCAAACACAGAAACUGAUGUGGAUGCUCAUGUCACCUGUCAGCAC